UUCCACCGCCCACCUUCUUCUUCUUCUUCACCUUCUUCUCUAACCAUUAUUAUUAAUUAGCAUCUUUCAUUUUGUUGUUAGAAGGAAAUAGUUUGUUUUCCUUUUUUGUGUAUAACUAGAAAUGAGCGGUGUGUUUUUGUGUAGAGUGUGAUUUGGUAAUGAAAAUGAGUUUUUUUUUUAUUUUGUGUAUGUUUGUGUAGGUGAGAGGUAUUAAAGAGUUGUAUAAUGUGAUAGUAUGAGUGUCUGCAUCGAUGUCUUGAGUUUGCAACUAAUUUUAGAUAUGAGGCUAUUCAAUUUUUGAUUGAUCACUUAUGUCUAUCUUCACCACAGCUUUACUAUCUCAAAAAAUGUACUUAUUUUCAUUAUUUUUCACCUAAUUGUUAUAAGGUUUCUUUAUUAGUUUGUUAUCUUGUACUUUUGUCGAAAAUUCUGGUUACCACCAAUACAUA